rnacentral:lncRNA from 1 species
GUCCAUCAACAAAGAGUCUUACUACUACCGGUUGGAGAGGCUCUAUCCUCAGGUGAUUGAUUACUUAAGAAGUAUACUGAAUUAUGAUAUCCAUCGAUCUAAUUUUGUAUAGGAAGUUUGAAAAACUAAAGAAUCUGUGGUACAUGAUUUGAUUUACUCAUUCAGAUUUUAGUAAAUUGUGACCGGAAGUUUUUUUUCACAAAACCAGUGCACCACCCUUUCUACACACAUCAUUCAUGGAUUGGCAGACUAAAGGUUCUAUUCAACAUCUUUGGUGGAUUGCAUAAAUGGGCUAGAGUAAAAAUAGACCAGAAUUGUUAUAUGUGCUUAGGGAAGUGGGAUUAGAUCAAGAUUUUUUUUUGACAAAAUGAGAAAUCAAUGGCUCAAGGAGAGUAAGCCCAAAGAGAUAAGUAUUGUUUUCCUUUAGUAGCUUGCCGCAUAAUUCAUUCAAACAUAUUUAGAGUGGAGCAGGAAUAUUCAAACAAGGAAAUGUACACAAUAUCUGUUAGUAUACAUGUGACACUUUCCCAUCUUUCGACUAAUGAUUGCCUCCUGCCAGGUAUCACUAAUAGCACAUUCAUCACAUCAUUUGUGUAGCUCAUUCUGGUGUAAGUCGGGCCAAUUUAGAAAAGAUUUUAAAGCAGAUUCAUACAUGUUAUAGAAGUCAGAGUCAAAUAGUAUAAUAAGUGAUUUGUUUGUGCAUAAUUUCUAAUUGAUCGUCUUCUAAGGAUAAAUGGAACUGCUACCUUUCCUCUCUCCAAUAAACUAUUAGACCCUGCUUGUAACUAUUUUUCAUCUUGGUGUGAUUUAUAAGGGAGGCCAUGCCAUUAGUUUUUUGUUAUUACAUGCUGUGAUGAUCCCGAUUCAUUGAUGUAUAGUGUCGUAUGUGGUCAAUUACCUAAUAUGGUAGUAUCACUUCUCCUGGUUUGCCUUGGUCUGAAAUCUGACUUUUGGACUGAUUGUAGUCAAUCUGAAUUAGUGAGGUUCUUUUUUCCAACUGUCCAUGUUCAGUUCUCUACAUUAUCAUGCAUUUUCUUUGGUUUAAAGAUGUCAUGAUGUUCACCAAGGUAGAGAAGAAAUGUUUUAAAGUUGUCCCUUCAAUUGAAACAAGUAUGACUUGGUCCUUAGUGCCUAUGCAGACAUGCAAACGGAAGGUCGAGAGGUUUAAAUAUGUCAUGAUGUUUACAAUUGCGGAUAUCCUGCUUCAGGUACUUGCAUGAUAACUCACAAUUUCAACACAGAAGUUACUAAUAUGUAAGACAUGCCCUCUCUCAUUCAAUGAUGUCCUGAAAUUUUCACACAAAGCUUUGUAAUCUUGCCAAGUCACAAGAGAGCCAAGUAAUCAUGCGAAUUUUCAGAGAACUUCAAGUGGCAUGCCACCAUUUGCAAUGGUUGUGAUGUAGUGAUAAUUAAUAAACUGCAGGUCUUCUAAAUAUUCUAAAGUUGCAUAUCUAAGAGCAUAUUAUAUUUCUCAUAAACAACUGGAGUUAAGCUUCUAUCCUCUUCCUGUCUUGAAGGAAUUAUCUGUUGAGUAAGCUACAAUCUCUUUGUUUGACUAGCUAGGCUGUGUUACAUACAUGUAUAAGAUGAUGCUUCUGUGGCUAUAACUGGUGCCUGCCACGCUAAAUAGGAAACACCCUAUUAAUUACCCACCUCAAUUUCAUUAGUGCGUCUGGCCUGUGAAUUUUACCCUAGACUAUAAAUCCCCUCCAAACGAAACCCUAUAGGUGUACUAUGACUUAAUAGUGUAUCCUUGUAAAAGUCAGUGUGUUGGGUUAUUUUUUUGGUGUGGUUAGAGAACUCGACUCCAUUUGGAAUGAGGGUUUGAGUUUUAUUUUUCCUAAACCUUUGAGAGGCAGAGCCAUGGAAAUAUUUUGUGCUCUCAUUCCUCUGGAUGGAAGCUCUAACUUUUCCUCUUUGUUUCCAAUAAGCUACUUUCUUCGAGAUUGUGCAAUGAAGGAUUUUGAUGGUAAGGGAUCGUAGAGCCUUGGGUGACUAGCAUUAAGAUAGGAAGGUUGUUGCCGCCCUUGUCCCUUGCUGCUGUGUUGCCACGGUGGCGUCAAUCACUGGCUUAUUUAGAACAAUAGUUAGUGGAUUUUGUGAUAAGGGUGAGGGCCGAGAGUGAGAGGGACGGGGUUGGGAUUGGUCUGUUGUAUGCGUGAAAUUAUUUCCCUACUUCAGAAAAUAUGGCAAAUUGCAUUUCAUUAGAGAUUGAUUUACAGCAAAUUGCAUGAGCGAGUGGUUCAUGCAUUUUUCAUCAAGUCGUACAUUUUCUUGGUUAUGACAUAAGGGUAAAUGUACUGGUUGGUUGCUUCAAGACUUAAUAACAGACACUAUGACAAUGGCUCAAGAGAUAUUAGAUCUACCUUCUUGGUUGGGGGCGUUAUGGGUGGCGCACGCCUCGACCCCCUUGAUGGCCGUGGUGGAUGGACAUGAACACGAGGGGGGAUCAGGGCGGAGAGCAGGGUGGUUGGCAGGGGACUCAUCCUUGGCAGUUCAUGGGAAAGUACGUUGUGAAGCAGAGGGGGCGCCAUGGCGAAGGUGAGGUAGCCAUCAUCCGGUCAUCUGUACUCCUAAUGUCUUAGUUGGUAGUCUCCGCUCACCGGUUAAAUUUCGUCCCACCAACACCAUUUUUUUCAUCCUCCCUCCCACCUCCUGUUGGAAAUAUGCCCUAGAGGCAAUAAUAAAAGCAUUAUUAUUAUAUUUCCUUGUUCAUGAUAAUUGUCUUUAUUCAUGCUAUAAUUGUGUUAUCCGGAAAUCGUAAUGCAUGUGUGAAUAACAGACACCAACAUGUCCCUAGUGAGCCUCUAGUUGACUAGCUCGUUGAUCAACAGAUAGUCAUGGUUUCCUGACUAUGGACACUGGAUGUCAUUGAUAACGAGAUCACAUCAUUGGGAGAAUGAUGUGAUGGACGAGACCCAAUCCUAAACAUAGCACAAGAUCGUAUAGUUCGUUUGCUAGAGUUUUGCAAUGUCAAAGUAUCUUUUCCUUAGACCAUGAGAUCGUGUAACUCCCGGAUACCGUAGGAGUGCUUUGGGUAUGCCAAACGUCACAACGUAACUGGGUGACUAUAAAGGUAGACUACGGGUAUCUCCGAAAGUGUCUGUUGGGUGACAUGGAUCAAGACUGGGAUUUGUCACUCCGUAUGACGGAGAGGUAUCACUGGGCCCACUCGGUAAUGCAUCAUCAUAAUGAGCUCAGAGUGACCAAGUGUCUGGUCACGGGAUCAUGCGUUACGGUACGAGUAAAGUGACUUGCCGGUAACGAGAUUGAACGAGGUAUUGGGAUACCGACGAUCGAAUCUCGGGCAAGUAACAUAUCGAUAGACAAAGGGAAUAGCGUACGGGGUUGAUUGAAUCCUCGAAAUCGUGGUUCAUCCGAUGAGAUCAUCGUGGAGCAUGUGGGAGCCAACAUGGGUAUCCAGAUCCCGCUGUUGGUUAUUGACCGGAGAGUCGUCUCGGUCAUGUCUGCUUGUCUCUCGAACCCGUAGGGUCUACACACUUAAGGUUCAGUUACGCUAGGGUUGUAGGGAUAUGUAUAUGCAGUAACCCGAAUGUUGUUCGGAGUCCCGGAUGAGAUCCCGGACGUCACGAGGAGUUCCGGAAUGGUCCGGAGGUAAAGAUUUAUAUAUGGGAAGUCUUGUUUCGGGCAUCGGGACAAGUUUCGGGGUUAUCGGUAUUGUACCGGGACCACCGGAAGGGUCCCGGGGGUCCACCGGGUGGGUCCACCUGUCCCGGGGGGCCACAUGGGCUGUAAGGGGGUGCGCCUUGGCCUAAUGGGCCAAGGGCACCAGCCCCACAUAGGCCCAUGCGCCUAGGGUUUAGAAGGGGAAGAGUCCUAGGAGGGUAAGGCACCUCCUAGGUGCCUUUGGGGGGAGGAAAACCCCCCUUAGGCCGCCGCACCCCCUAGGAGAUUGGAUCUCCUAGGGCCGGCCACCCCCCCCCUUGGCACCCCUAUAUAUUGUGGGGGAGAGGAGGGACUUCAUACCUGAACGCCUCGGCCUUUGGUUGCCUCCUUCUCCCUCCCCAACACCUCCUCAACCUCCAUAGUGCUUAGCGAAGCUCUGCCGGAGUACUGCAGCUCCAUCAACACCACGCCGUCGUGCUGCUGCUGGUGCCAUCUCCCUCAACCUCUCCUCCCUCCCUUGCUGGAUCAAGAAGGAGGAGACGUGGCUGUUCCGUACGUGUGUUGAACGCGGAGGUGCCGUCCGUUCGGCGCUGGUCAUCGGUGAUUUGGAUCACGUCGAGUACGACUACAUCAUCACCGUUCUUUUGAACGCUUCCGCUUGCGAUCUACAAAGGUAUGUAGAUGCAUCUAAUCACUCGUUGCUAGAUGAACUCCUAGAUGAUCUUGGUGAAACGAGUAGGAAAAUUUUUGUUUUCUGCAACGUUCCCCAACAGUGGCAUCAUGAGCUAGGUCUAUGCGUAGUUCUUCUUGCGCGAGUAGAACACAAUUUGUUGUGGGCGUAGAUUUGUCAACUUUCUUGCCGUUACUAGUCCUUUCUUGCUUCAGCGGUAUUGUGGGAUGAAGCGGCCCGGACCAACCUUACACGUACGCUUACGUGAGACCGGUUCCACCGACUAACAUGCACUAGUUGCAUAAGGUGGCUGGCGGGUGUCUGUCUCUCCUACUUUAGUUGGAGCGGAAUCGAUGAACAGGGUCCUUAUGAAGGGUAAAUAGAAGUUGACAAAUCACGUUGUGGCUUUAACGUAGGUAAGAAAACGUUCUUGCUAGUACCCUAAUUCAGCCACGUAAAACUUGCAACAACAAUUAGAGGACGUCUAACUUGUUUUUGCAGCAAGUGGUUUGUGAUAUGAUAUGGCCAAAGUUGUGAUGAAUGAUGAAUGAUCUAUAUGUGAUGUAUGAGAUGUUCAUGCUAUUGUAAUAGGAUUCACGACUUGCAUGUCGAUGAGUAUGACAACCGGCAGGAGCCAUAGGAGUUGUCUUUAUUCUUUUAUAUGACCUGCGUGUCAUCAAGAAACGCCAUGUAAAUUACUUUACUUUAUUGCUAAACACGUUAGCCAUAGUAGUAGAAGUAAUAGUUGGCGAGCAACUUCAUGGAGACACGAUGAUGGAGAUCAUGAUGAUGGAGAUCAUGGUGUCAAGCCAGUGACAAGAUGAUCAUGGAGCCCCAAGAUGGAGAUCAAAGGAGCUAUGUGAUAUUGGCCAUAUCAUGUCACGUUUAUUAUUUGAUUUCAUGUGAUGUUUAUCAUGUUUUGCAUCUUGUUUACUUAGAAGGACGGUAGUAAAUAAGAUGAUCCCUCACAAUAAUUUCAAGAAGUGUUCCCCCUAACUGUGCACCGUUGCGACAGUUCGCUGUUUCAAAACACCACGUGAUGAUCGGGUGUUUUAUUCAGACGUUCACAUACAACGGGUGUAAGACAGAUUUACACAUGCAAACACUUAGGUUGACUUGACGAGCCUAGCAUGUACAGACAUGGCCUCGGAACACAGAAGACCGAAAGGUCGAGCAUGAGUCGUAUAGAAGAUACGAUCAACAUGAAGAUGUUCACUGAUGUUGACUAGUCCGUCUCACGUGAUGAUCGGACACGGUCUAGUUUAACUCGGAUCAUGUAAUACUUAGAUGACCAGAGGGAUGUCUAAUCUAAGUGGGAGUUCACUAAUAAUUUGAUUAGUUGAACUUAAUUAUCAUGAACUUAGUCUAAAAUCUUUGCAAUAUGUCUUGUAGAUCAAAUGGCCAACGUAGUCCUCAACUUCAACGCGUUCCUAGAGAAAACUAAGCUGAAAGACGAUGGCAGCAACUAUACGGACUGGGUCCGGAACCUGAGGAUCAUCCUCAUAGCUGCCAAGAAAGAUUAUGUCCUACAAGCACCGCUUGGUGACGCACCCGUUCUCCCUGCAGAACAAGAUGUUAUGAACGCUUGGCAGGCACGUUUCGAUGACUACUCCCUCGUUCAGUGCGGCAUGCUUUACAGCCUAGAGCCGGGGCUCCAAAAGCGUUUUGAGAGACAUGGAGCAUAUGAGAUGUUCGAAGAGCUGAAAAUGGUUUUCCAAGCUCAUGCCCGGGUCGAGAGAUAUGAAGUCUCCGACAAAUUCUUUAGCUGUAAGAUGGAGGAAAACAGUUCUGUCAGUAAGCACAUACUCACUAUGUCUGGGUUGCAUAACCGCUUGACUCGGCUGGGAGUUAAUCUCCCGGAUGAUGCGGUCAUUGACAGAAUCCUCCAGUCGCUUCCACCAAGCUACAAGAGCUUUGUGAUGAACUUCAAUAUGCAGGGGAUGGAAAAGACCAUUCCUGAAGUAUUUGCUAUGCUGAAAUCAGCAGAGGUAGAAGUCAGAAAGGAACAUCAAGUGUUGAUGGUCAAUAAAACCACUAAGUUCAAGAAAGGCAAGGGUAAAAAGAACUUCAAGAAGGACGGCAAGGAGGUUGCCGCGCCCGGCAAGCAAGCUGCUGGGAAGAAGCCAAAGAAUGGACCCAAGCCCGAGACUGAGUGCUUUUAUUGCAAGGGAAGCGGUCACUGGAAGCGGAACUGCCCUAAGUACUUAGCAGAUAAGAAGGCCGGCAAAAACAAAAGGUAUAUGUGAUAUACAUGUAAUUGAUGUGUACCUUACUAGUGCCCGUAGUAGCUCCUGGGUAUUUGAUACCGGUGCAGUUGCUCACAUUUGUAACUCAAAGCAGGGGCUGCGGAAUAAGCGGAAACUGGCAAAGGACGAGGUGACGAUGCGCGUCGGGAAUGGUUCCAAGGUCAAUGUGAUCGCCGUCGGCACGCUACCUCUGCAUCUCCCUUCGGGAUUAGUUUUAAACCUUGAUAAUUGUUAUUUAGUGCCAGCUUUGAGCAUGAACAUUGUAUCGGGAUCUCGUUUAAUUCGAGAUGACUACUCUUUUAAAUCUGAGAAUAAUGGUUGUUCCAUUUUUAUGAGAGAUAUGUUUUAUGGUCAUGCUCCUAUGGUGAAUGGUUUAUUCCUUAUGAAUCUCGAACGUGAUGCUACACAUAUUCAUAAUGUGAGUACCAAAAGAAGUAAGGUUGAUAAUGAUAGUCCCACAUACUUGUGGCACUGCCGCCUUGGUCACAUAGGUGUUAAACGCAUGAAGAAGCUCCAUGCUGAUGGACUUUUAGAGUCUCUUGAUUAUGAAUCAUUUGACACGUGCGAACCAUGCCUUAUGGGUAAAAUGACCAAGACUCCGUUCUCAGGAACAAUGGAGCGAGCAACCGACUUAUUGGAAAUCAUACAUACUGAUGUGUGCGGUCCGAUGAGUAUUGAGGCUCGCGGUGGCUAUCGUUAUGUUCUCACCCUCACUGAUGAUUUAAGUAGGUAUGGGUAUAUCUACUUAAUGAAACACAAGUCUGAAACCUUUGAAAAGUUCAAGGAAUUUCAGAGUGAGGUUGAAAAUCAACGUGACAGGAAAAUCAAGUUUCUACGAUCAGAUCGUGGAGAAGAAUACUUGAGUCACGAGUUUGGGGCACACUUAAGAAAAUGUGGAAUAGUUUCACAACUCACGCCGCCUGGAACACCUCAGCGUAAUGGUGUGUCCGAACGUCGUAAUCGCACUCUGUUAGAUAUGGUGCGAUCUAUGAUGUCUCUUACCGAUUUACCGCUUUCUUUUUGGGGCUAUGCUUUAGAGACUGCCGCAUUCACUUUAAAUAGGGCUCCGUCGAAAUCCGUGAGACGACACCGUAUGAAUUAUGGUUUGGGAAGAAACCUAAGCUGUCGUUUCUAAAAGUUUGGGGAUGCGAUGCUUAUGUCAAGAAACUUCAACCUGAAAAGCUCGAACCCAAAUCGGAAAAAUGCGUCUUCAUAGGGUACCCAAAAGAAACUAUUGGGUACACCUUCUACCUCAGAUCCGAAGGCAAGAUCUUUGUUGCCAAGAAUGGGUCCUUUCUGGAGAAAGAGUUUCUCUCGAAAGAAGUAAGUGGGAGGAAAGUAGAGCUUGAUGAAGUAUUACCUCUUGAACCGGAAAAUGGCGCAACUCAAGAAAAUGUUCCUGAGGUGCCUGCACCGACUAGAGAGGAAGUUAAUGAUCAAGAUACUUCUGAUCAAGCCCCUACUGAAAUUCGAAGGUCCACAAGGACACGUUCCGCACCAGAGUGGUACGGCAACCCUGUCUUGGAAAUCAUGCUGUUAGACAACGGUGAACCUUCGAACUAUGAAGAAGCGAUGGCGGGCCCGGAUUCCGACAAAUGGCUAGAAGCCAUGAAAUCCGAGAUAGGAUCCAUGUAUGAAAACAAAGUAUGGACUUUGACUGACUUGCCCGUUGAGCGGCGAGCCAUAGAAAAUAAAUGGAUCUUUAAGAGGAAGACAGACGCAGAUGGUAAUGUGACCAUCUAUAAAGCUCGGCUUGUCGCUAAUGGUUAUCGACAAGUUCAAGGGGUUGACUACGAUGAGACUUUCUCACCGGUAGCGAAGCUGAAGUCCGUCCGAAUCAUGUUAGCAAUUGCCGCAUUCUAUGAUUACGAAAUAUGGCAAAUGGACGUCAAAACGGCAUUCCUUAAUGGUUUCCUUAAGGAAGAAUUGUAUAUGAUGCAGCCGAAAGGUUUUGUCGAUCCUAAGAAUGCUGACAAAGUGUGCAAGCUCCAACGCUCGAUUUAUGGGCUGGUGCAAGCAUCUCGGAGUUGGAACAUUCGCUUUGAUGAGAUGAUCAAAGCGUUUGGGUUUACACAGACUUAUGGAGAAGCCUGCGUUUACAAGAAAGUGAGUGGGAGCUCUGUAGCAUUUCUCAUAUUAUAUGUAGAUGACAUACUUUUGAUGGGAAAUGAUAUAGAACUCUUGGACAGCAUCAAGGCCUACUUGAAUAAAAGUUUUUCAAUGAAGGACCUUGGAGAAGCUGCUUAUAUAUUAGGCAUCAAAAUCUAUAGAGAUAGAUCAAGACGCCUCAUAGGUCUUUCACAAAGCACAUACCUUGAUAAGAUAUUGAAGAAGUUCAAUAUGGAUCAAUCCAAGAAGGGGUUCUUUCCUGUGUUGCAAGGUAUGAAAUUGAGCUCAGCUCAAUGUCCGACCACGGCAGAAGAUAUAGAAGAGAUGAGCGUCAUCCCCUAUGCCUCAGCCAUAGGUUCUAUUAUGUAUACCAUGCUGUGUACCAGACCUGAUGUAAACCUUGCCGUAAGUUUGGUAGGAAGGUACCAAAGUAAUCCCGGCAAGGAACACUGGACAGCGGUCAAGAAUAUCCUGAAGUACCUGAAAAGGACUAAGGAAAUGUUUCUCGUUUAUGGAGGUGACGAAGAGCUAGUCGUAAAGGGUUACGUCGACGCUAGCUUCGACACAGAUCUGGAUGACUCUAAGUCACAAACCGGAUACGUGUAUAUUUUGAAUGGUGGGGUAGUGAGCUGGUGCAGUUGCAAGCAAAGCGUCGUGGCGGGAUCUACAUGUGAAGCGGAGUACAUGGCAGCCUCGGAGGCAGCACAUGAAGCAAUAUGGGUGAAGGAGUUCAUCACCGACCUAGGAGUCAUACCCAAUGCGUCGGGGCCGAUCAAGCUCUUCUGUGACAACUCUGGAGCUAUUGCACUUGCCAAGGAGCCCAGGUUUCACAAGAAGACAAGGCACAUCAAGCGUCGCUUCAACUCCAUUCGUGAAAAUGUUCAAGAUGGAGACAUAGAGAUUUGUAAAGUACAUACGGACCUGAAUGUAGCAGAUCCGUUGACUAAACCUCUCCCUAGAGCAAAACAUGAUCAACACCAGAAUUCCAUGGGUGUUCGAUUCAUCACAAUGUAACUAGAUUAUUGACUCUAGUGCAAGUGGGAGACUGUUGGAAAUAUGCCCUAGAGGCAAUAAUAAAAGCAUUAUUAUUAUAUUUCCUUGUUCAUGAUAAUUGUCUUUAUUCAUGCUAUAAUUGUGUUAUCCGGAAAUCGUAAUGCAUGUGUGAAUAACACACACCAACAUGUCCCUAGUGAGCCUCUAGUUGACUAGCUCGUUGAUCAACAGAUAGUCAUGGUUUCCUGACUAUGGACACUGGAUGUCAUUGAUAACGAGAUCACAUCAUUGGGAGAAUGAUGUGAUGGACGAGACCCACUCCUAAACAUAGCACAAGAUCGUAUAGUUCGUUUGCUAGAGUUUUGCAAUGUCAAAGUAUCUUUUCCUUAGACCAUGAGAUCGUGUAACUCCCGGAUACCGUAGGAGUGCUUUGGGUAUGCCAAACGUCACAACGUAACUGGGUGACUAUAAAGGUAGACUACGGGUAUCUCCGAAAGUGUCUGUUGGGUGACAUGGAUCAAGACUGGGAUUUGUCACUCCGUAUGACGGAGAGGUAUCACUGGGCCCACUCGGUAAUGCAUCAUCAUAAUGAGCUCAGAGUGACCAAGUGUCUGGUCACGGGAUCAUGCGUUACGGUACGAGUAAAGUGACUUGCCGGUAACGAGAUUGAACGAGGUAUUGGGAUACCGACGAUCGAAUCUCGGGCAAGUAACAUAUCGAUAGACAAAGGGAAUAGCGUACGGGGUUGAUUGAAUCCUCGACAUCGUGGUUCAUCCGAUGAGAUCAUCGUGGAGCAUGUGGGAGCCAACAUGGGUAUCCAGAUCCCGCUGUUGGUUAUUGACCGGAGAGUCGUCUCGGUCAUGUCUGCUUGUCUCUCGAACCCGUAGGGUCUACACACUUAAGGUUCAGUUACGCUAGGGUUGUAGGGAUAUGUAUAUGCAGUAACCCGAAUGUUGUUCGAAGUCCCGGAUGAGAUCCCGGACGUCACGAGGAGUUCCGGAAUGGUCCGGAGGUAAAGAUUUAUAUAUGGGAAGUCUUGUUUCGGGCAUCGGGACAAGUUUCGGGGUUAUCGGUAUUGUACCGGGACCACCGGAAGGGUCCCGGGGGUCCACCGGGUGGGUCCACCUGUCCCGGGGGGGCCACAUGGGCUGUAAGGGGGUGCGCCUUGGCCUAAUGGGCCAAGGGCACCAGCCCCACAUAGGCCCAUGCGCCUAGGGUUUAGAAGGGGAAGAGUCCUAGGAGGGUAAGGCACCUCCUAGGUGCCUUUGGGGGGAGGAAAACCCCCCUUAGGCCGCCGCACCCCCUAGGAGAUUGGAUCUCCUAGGGCCGGCCACCCCCCCUUGGCACCCCUAUAUAUAGUGGGGGAGAGGAGGGACUUCAUACCUGAACGCCUCGGCCUUUGGUUGCCUCCUUCUCCCUCCCCAACACCUCCUCAACCUCCAUAGUGCUUAGCGAAGCUCUGCCGGAGUACUGCAGCUCCAUCAACACCACGCCGUCGUGCUGCUGCUGGUGCCAUCUCCCUCAACCUCUCCUCCCUCCCUUGCUGGAUCAAGAAGGAGGAGACGUGGCUGUUCCGUACGUGUGUUGAACGCGGAGGUGCCGUCCGUUCGGCGCUGGUCAUCGGUGAUUUGGAUCACGUCGAGUACGACUACAUCAUCACCGUUCUUUUGAACGCUUCCGCUCGCGAUCUACAAAGGUAUGUAGAUGCAUCUAAUCACUCGUUGCUAGAUGAACUCCUAGAUGAUCUUGGUGAAACGAGUAGGAAAAUUUUUGUUUUCUGCAACGUUCCCCAACACCUCCCACUCCCAGCUAUUCCCACCGGCUUUAUUUUAUGUGAUCUGAAUAUGAGCGAGUCUUAAAUUUUGGUGCAGUGUGAAAGGAGGAAAAUGGUUGCCGGAAAGCAGGUAGAUCUACACCUUGAGAGAUGGCAUUUUGCGGUACAUUGUUUAGGUAAGGAUAUUGUGCUUUCUUCUAAAAACUCUGGACUGUCGACAAGAUUGAGUUGUGUUCCAUUUUUUAAAAAUUACUUAGAAUCUUGGUUCUGGCAAUACUACUAUGAACUGGCAUACCUCGUGAUCAUGAGAGGAUGACAAGUUCCUGAUCCCCAAGAACGCCCUCAUGUGUGGCUGCCGGUCGUCGGACAAGACAUCUCUGACGACUUAGCCACACAGCAAACCUAAGUUUGUCAUGGGAGGAUGUCACCUUGGACUGGAGCAACAGACGUCAAAAAUUUACCAGGAAAAAAGGCUCACAAAUAAGAGUGACCCAAACACAAAUUGUCGUACGUUUGCAAUUAAACUCUUAGUAGCAGCUUGAUUCUUACUAUUGUUACUUUGGUGGUGGGUAUAAUUAGUCAUGUAGUAGCAUCUUAGCUUCAUCUUAUUUCUUGAGAACAUAUCUAGCUAUCAGAUCUUCAAGAGUACACCAUAAAAAUUGAAACGCCUAUCAGCUUCAUAGAAGAAAGUUAGUCUUAUGAUAGAAGAAAGGCCCAUCAGCCCUUACAGUGCUUGAUUGGUUAGCGACUGCUUUUCAGGCUCAACUGAUUACUGACUACGUCCAACAACAUAUGACUAACAUGACCAAGUAGAAGUAAAUUUCAUUGUGAUCAAGAUGGUGCCUUUAUUUUGGAAAACACGAUUGAGAUGGGUAGGCGAAUGGGCAUCUCACCGGAACAAAUAGACAGACUGAUUUCACUCAUACACAGGUUGAUUAUAUUAUACGGUCAACUCACGAAGUAGCCGGGAUACCUUCUGCUUGAAGUUUGAAAGCCAUUAGCAUGCUAAAUUAUAUGGAUGUGUUGGUCUUGACGUGUGUGCACGUACAUUGUAAAAUAAACUUGAGUAAUGAUUAAUACCUUGUUUACUCUUUGUUUGCUUUACAGGUAUUUGGAUUAUCUAUUAUGUUUCAGAAUUUCUCGAACUAUGGUAUCUCCAUANNNNNNNNNNNNNNNNNNNNNNNNNNNNNNNNNNNNNNNNNNNNNNNNNNNNNNNNNNNNNNNNNNNNNNNNNNNNNNNNNNNNNNNNNNNNNNNNNNNNNNNNNNNNNNNNNNNNNNNNNNNNNNNNNNNNNNNNNNNNNNNNNNNNNNNNNNNNNNNCCCAGUAAUUUCAUUCAAGAUAUCUUAAGGAGAAAUUUGGUUUUUGGUGAACUGAAACAAUAUACCAAUAAAAAAUUAGCGCUUGGCUGUACAUAUGAAUGUUAACUUUGUUAAAAUAAUUCUCCCUUUAUAAGAGAAGAUUUCUUAGUUCAAAUAUAUUUUUUGAAAAAAUAUAGUAUUUUCCUGAUAAACCUUUUGAUUCCUCAACAUCCAUAUCUCAGAAGGAUAAUAGUGGUGUGUUUAUGUUGCUUUGGGUCUCUUAUCACUCGGAUCAUUCAUCAGAAAAAUAUUUAAAAAAUAAUUCUAUUUUGACGUUUCCUUUGUGUUCAUUGUUCCAUCAUAGUAGUUUAGGUUCACAUGAAACCAGACCAUAUGUUUCAGUUUCACUCUUUGGACCAUGAUGGUGUUGUGCAAGGUGGGCUAGAUCGUAAUGCUAAAAGAAUCAAUGGAGGUUAUUGGAUAGCUUUUGGAUUCUCCAAAAAAUAAUCUAGCAGAUGGAUGAUCCUAUUAUCACGUAUGGUGGUGGUGUGCAAGGAAAUGGAGCAGCAUGAUGGUAGCUAAUGCUGUUAUCUUCACAUGUAAGAUGUAUGAGCUUCAGUUAGUCAUGCUAUUAUCAUGUAUAGUCAAAAAUGAUUAGUUUAAUCGGAAUUUAGAGUUUCAUUCUUAGUUCUCUGAAAUAUUGUUUUUAUAUGUAAUUCCUGCAGAGUGUAGUAUAUUGGGAGCCAAGGCCGAGUAGCAAGCCAUGUGUCACCGCAAGGACAGGAGCGAGAUUUAAUUAAUUGUAUUUGCAAGAUUUGGUCUUCCGUUCUUGUUUUCUUGGUCAUCUCACAGGUUUUAUCACUUACAUUUCCUUCUAUGGUGGUCUGAUCAUUGUACUUUGGGACAUUGUACUUUUAGGACGUAAUGUGCACUUCUGGUUGUUAUUUUAAAUUGCUCAUGUCUUGAUAUGUCUUUCAAAUUCUUGACAUCUGCGCCAGUAGCCUAAACCUCCAUGGCAUGCUCCAUCGGAGUAUUUUGUUUGUUGCACAAUUUUCAAGUGCGACCUUCCAAUUUAUUUUGUUGUAACUAUAAGGUUUGGCACCUCAGAUAAGUUCUCGAAAUACCAAUGUCAUAUUUCAAUUAGAAAAUAAGUUUUAGUUUGAUCAUGCAUGCAAUUGUAAUAACCCUACUUUGAGCUUUUAUGUACUGGUUUAAAUAGUUAAAUCUUCUAGAUUCUUUUGCAUAUUUUCUUGGAAUUAUAC